UACGUAGGGUGCAAGCGUUGUCCGGAAUUACUGGGCGUAAAGAGUUCGUAGGCGGUUUGUCGCGUCGUUUUGUGAAAACCAGCAGCUCAACUGCUGGCUUGCAGGCGAUACGGGCAGACUUGAGUACUGCAGGGGAGACUGGAAUUCCUGGUGUAGCGGUGAAAUGCGCAGAUAUCAGGAGGAACACCGGUGGCGAAGGCGGU
rnacentral:rRNA from 1 species